CCUACGGGUGGCAGCAGUGGGGAAUAUUGCACAAUGGGGGAAACCCUGAUGCAGCGACGCCGCGUGAGUGAAGAAGUAUCUCGGUACGUAAAGCUCUAUCAGCAGGGAAGAAAAUGACGGUACCUGACUAAGAAGCACCGGCUAACUACGUGCCAGCAGCCGCGGUAAUACGUAGGGGGCAAGCGUUAUCCGGAUUUACUGGGUGUAAAGGGAGCGUAGUCGGCAGGACAAGUCUGGAGUGAAAUCCCGGGGCUUAACCCCGGAACUGCUUUGGAAACUGUGCGGCUGGAGUGCAGGAGGGGUAAGCGGAAUUCCUAGUGUAGCGGUGAAAUGCGUAGAUAUUAGGAAGAACACCAGUGGCGAAGGCGGGUUGCUAGACUGUAACUGACGCUGAGGCACGAAAGCGUGGGGAGCAAACAGGAUUAGAUACCCGAGUAGUC
rnacentral:rRNA from 1 species